GCUCAAUUGUAUGAGAGAUAGGAACUUGAACCAUCUCAUGAUUUUCAUUGCAGCAUUCAUGAUCUAUGCGAGCCUAAUAACUGGGGAUCCUCUAUUUCUUAUUUUCCGUUUUGUGCCCCCAAUUUUGGUAUUUGUUUGCUUGUGAGAUCAUUAUGCAUUGGCGUGUAGCCCUUUAGAUCCCACCCUUAUAGCCACUGGAGAUGGAGAUGAUAAAGCCUUUCUAUCGAAACGGAGACUGGGCUGCUGAGCUUCUAGGUCACGAAGACUCUGUUUCUUCUCUAGCUUUUAGCUACGACGGACAGUUAGUUGCCUCUGGAGGGUUGGAUGGUGGUGUUGUUUGUUCAGAUCCUCGAUGCAUCUUCAGGGACUUCGAAAUGUGUUUUGGACGGUCCUGGUGCUGGCAUUGAGGUAUACAAACCCUUGCAACAACAAGAACAGCGUCAUAAGAGUUGAUUUGGGGAAUGCAGAGUUGUCUGGCCAUUUAGUUCCAGAGCUUGGUGUGCUCAAGAAUUGCAGUACCUGUCUUCCUGAGUUGAGAUCUAUCUAAUAACCAACUCUCUGGUUCAGUUCCUGACAAUGGCUCUUUCUCACUUUUCACACCCAUCA